rnacentral:rRNA from 1 species
CAAUAGCGAAUAUUAAAAUUGUUGCGGCUAACAAGUUCGUAGUUGGAUUUCUGUUGAGGACGGCCGGUCCGCCCUCCGGGUGAGCAUCUGGUUUGGCCUUGGCCUCUUCUUGGUGAACGUAUCUGCACUUGACUGUGUGGUGCGGUAGCCAGGAUUUCCAUUUUGAGGGAAUUACAAUGUUUCAAGCAGGCAUACGUCUUAAAUACAUCAGCAUGGAAUAGUAAGAUAGGACCUCGGUUUCGUUUUGUUAGUUUCUAGAGCUAAGGUAAUGAUUAAUAGGGAUAGUUGGGGGCAUUCGUAUUUAACUGUCAGAGGUGAAAUCCUUGGAUUUGGUAAAGACGGACUACUGGGAAAGCAUUUGCCAAGGAUGUUUUCAUUGGUCAAGAACAAAAGUUAGGGUACCGAAGACGAUUAGAU